UGUGGUAUUUGCUACCUCAUAACUAUAUUUUUCUACUGUUGUGAAUCAUAAUAUGAAUAUAUGAUAUGCGAGAUAUCUAAAGUGCAACUCCUGUGAAAAGGUCAUUCAAACGAGUCCGAUCCGGUAAAGAACCAAAGCCCUAAAGUAUGCGGAAGUACCACUUUAUCACACAAAAACACAUUGAAAAGCAGAGGCUCUGAUCCAGCUUUGCUGCCUGGAAAGGGAAUGUCUGUGGUAGGAAACAACGCUCUGGGUCUCGUGCACAAGGAGUCCCUCACCAGAAUAUCUUGGAGGUUCCUAUUUGGCUUAGAGGUGUAUUGAACACCUAUAUAGUGACUCAGCAGUACCGGAAUUAGAAGGGAGAAAUCUGUAGAGCUGAGAAUGAGGCAGAAUUCCACUCCCAACUCUGCAAAGAUUAGACUUUAUAUUUAGUCUGCCAUUACCCUCUGACCUCAGUGAAAAGGAUGAAGAUGACCAGGUAUUCUCAUUCUUCAACCAAAGCAUGGCCACAGUUUUGAAUGGGCUGCUGCAUCCUCUGCCAGGGUGUGAUGCCACAUCUGGAUUCUACUUGCUGCCCUGGUGAUUGGCAGAGCCUCACUGUUUCUUCUGGAAUGAACAGCCAUUGCUGAUUCGCAAUGGUGUUUGCAAGCAGACUGAGCUACCACUGUUGACUUCUGUGAUCUGAACGGCUGAUAUCCUGACAGUGCAGACAGAUUCACCUCAAAGAAGUAUUUCUAAACAGGUCCACAUCCUCCUGUGCUCUAUUAACCUUUCCUUUUCACGGUCUGGUGGGUGAUGGACUAGAGGGGAGGUUAAAGCACCUUAGAACCCUUAUUAAAGUGGGUUUGAAAAAUCUAAGCUUACAAAGGAGUCUUAUUUGGUACCAUUUGAAAUAUUUCCUUCUUAACUAUUUGAUGAGGCGCAAGCAUUGCCGCUAAAAUGACCUUCUGCUAAGGCCCAUUCCUUAGCGAGAUGCUCGUACACAUAAUUUUCAAAACCACUAGGCAAGCUGCAGAAGAACUUUCGUUUAUCUUUUAUGAGUGACAGAAAGAAUGGGCCUGUGGAGACCUGACAGAGUUGGGGCAGAAAGCUCCAUGAUGGGGCACCUUCUCAGCAUGCAUGAAGACCUGAAUUCUGUCUCUGGAACCACAAACCAGGCAUGAAAUCACAUCCAAGAACAAUCCAGGGAACAGAAUCCAUUUGAGGCUGGACAUUCUGCAGUCUCUUGAACUCUUCACCUUGCUGGUUUUGGGUUUCACUCUGUAACCCUGCUGUCCUGCAACUGACUACAUAGACCAGGAUGGCCUUGAACCCACUUAAGCUUCGUUUGCUUCUGCAUCCCAAAUGCUGGAAUUAAAGAGAUAAAGAAGACACCUUUCAUAUCAGUAACUGGAAGACAGUCAAGGAAACCUCUCUGAGAUCCUGAAUGGAACCCCACAUACAGCUUCCUGUUCCACUGGAAUCAGAGGCAGUUGGGGGAAAGUCUCAAAUCAUCACAUGGAGAAACAACCUCUACUACUUUUAAAUUCUGGUGAAGUGACUAACUUGAUGGUUGAAUAUGUGCUUCACACAUGUUCAGCAAUACAGUAGAAUAAUAAAUAACCAUGAUGUAAAGAUUUCCAAGGAUCAGCUUCUGCACUGCAUAAUUAUUAAUAAACCAAUAAUAUGCAA